rnacentral:rRNA from 1 species
UACGGAGGGGGCUAGCGUUGUUCGGAAUUACUGGGCGUAAAGCGCACGUAGGCGGACCGGAAAGUCAGAGGUGAAAUCCCAGGGCUCAACCUUGGAACUGCCUUUGAAACUCCUGGUCUUGAGUUCGAGAGAGGUGAGUGGAAUUCCGAGUGUAGAGGUGAAAUUCGUAGAUAUUCGGAGGAACACCAGUGGCGAAGGCGGCUCACUGGCUCGAUACUGACGCUGAGGUGCGAAAGCGUGGGGAG